UGGGGAAUUUUGGACAAUGGGCGAAAGCCUGAUCCAGCAAUGCCGCGUGUGUGAAGAAGGCCUUCGGGUUGUAAAGCACUUUUGUCCUGAAAGAAAUCCUUGGCUCUAAUACAGUCGGGGGAUGACGGUACCGGAAGAAUAAGCACCGGCUAACUACGUGCCAGCAGCCGCGGUAAUACGUAGGGUGCAAGCGUUAAUCGGAAUUACUGGGCGUAAAGCGUGCGCAGGCGGUUUGCUAAGACCGAUGUGAAAUCCCCGGGCUCAACCUGGGAACUGCAUUGGUGACUGGCAGGCUAGAGUAUGGCAGAGGGGGGUAGAAUUCCACGUGUAGCAGUGAAAUGCGUAGAGAUGUGGAGGAAUACCGAUGGCGAAGGCAGCCCCCUGGGCCAAUACUGACGCUCAUGCACGAAAGCGUGGGGAGCAAACAGGAUUAGAUACCCUGGUAGUCCACGCCCUAAACGAUGUCAACUAGUUGUUGGGGAUUCAUUUCCUUAGUAACGUAGCUAACGCGUGAAGUU
rnacentral:rRNA from 1 species